rnacentral:rRNA from 1 species
AAUGAACGCUGGCGGCGCGCCUAAUACAUGCAAGUCGAGCGAGAAGACGUAGCAAUACGUUUGUAAAGCGGCGAACGGGUGAGGAAUACAUGGGUAACCUACCCUAGAGUGGGGAAUAACUAGCCGAAAGGUUAGCUAAUACCGCGUACGCUCCUUGGACUUCGGUUCAGGGAGGAAAGCGAUGCCGAGGGUAUCGCGCUCUUGGAUGGGCUCAUGUCCUAUCAGCUUGUUGGGNGAGGUAACGGCUCACCAAGGCUUCGACGGGUAGCUGGUCUGAGAGGACGAUCAGCCACACUGGCACUGCGAC